UGGGGAAUUUUGGACAAUGGGGGAAACCCUGAUCCAGCCAUCCCGCGUGUGCGAUGAAGGCCUUCGGGUUGUAAAGCACUUUUGGCAGGAAAGAAACGUCAUGGGUUAAUACCCCGUGAAACUGACGGUACCUGCAGAAUAAGCACCGGCUAACUACGUGCCAGCAGCCGCGGUAAUACGUAGGGUGCAAGCGUUAAUCGAAAUUACUGGGCGUAAAGCGUGCGCAGGCGGUUCGGAAAGAAAGAUGUGAAAUCCCAGAGCUCAACUUUGGAACUGCAUUUUUAACUACCGGGCUAGAGUGUGUCAGAGGGAGGUGGAAUUCCGCGUGUAGCAGUGAAAUGCGUAGAUAUGCGGAGGAACACCGAUGGCGAAGGCAGCCUCCUGGGAUAACACUGACGCUCAUGCACGAAAGCGUGGGGAGCAAACAGG
rnacentral:rRNA from 1 species